AGGAAUUCAAAUUCAUCAAGGACAUCGAGCUGGUCCAGAAGGCUGCAAAUCUGUACACUGUGCAGCCCGAUGAGCACUUUGGGGCCUGGUUCCAGGCCGUGGAGCCCCUGAGUGAGGAGGCGAGCUACAGCCUGUCCUGUCAGCUGGAGCCACAAUACCAGUGGACCAGAAAGAUUCGACUCUUCUUCAAAGACAAGAAGAGCCACUCAUCUUCCCGCCCAGGGCUGAACACCAGGCCCCCAAAAAAGAGCCCAGUCGUGGUGGCAGAUGACGCUCCUGAGACCAGCUGAACUACAGCAGGGACACAGCGGGGACACUCAGGUGCAUGGGGCCACCUCUCAGAUGCUGAUGUGCAUGAAAACUUUGUGAUCCAUUUCCUGGGGUCCCUGAAGGCAACAAGGGAGUGGAUGAUACCCCCAUCUCCCUCACACAUUUUCCCCAGCGCCUAUUUCCCUCUUUGGAGGGGCCAUGUUUUUGUUGUCAAUGAUAAAUGCUAAGUUUGGGUAUUCUAUUAAAUUUCUGUUUUUUUCUCA
ensembl:lncRNA